rnacentral:rRNA from 1 species
AGUGAACGCUGGCGGUAGGCCUAACACAUGCAAGUCGAACGGCAGCACAGUAAGAGCUUGCUCUUACGGGUGGCGAGUGGCGGACGGGUGAGGAAUACAUCGGAAUCUACUUUUUCGUGGGGGAUAACGUAGGGAAACUUACGCUAAUACCGCAUACGGACUACGGGUGAAAGCAGGGGAUCUUCGGACCUUGCGCGAUUGAAUGGGCCGAUGUCGGAUUAGCUAGUUGGCGGGGUAAAGGCCCACCAAGGCGACGAUCCGUAGCUGGUCUGAGAGGAUGAUCAGCCACACUGGAACUGAGACACGGUCCAGACUCCUACGGGAGGCAGCAAUGGGGAAUAUUGGACAAUGGGCGCAAGCCUGAUCCAGCCAUACCGCGUGGGUGAAGAAGGCCUUCGGGUUGUAAAGCCCUUUUGUUGGGAAAGAAAAGCAUCAGGUUAAUACCCCGCUGUUCUGACGGUACCCAAAGAAUAAGCACCGGCUAACUUCGUG